UUUCACAUAGAAUUUUAUUACUGUGAUCCACUUUUGCGAUAAAAUAUAGUGCACCAGAUAUGCAUUUUUGUACAAGAUUUUUAAUAGCACAAAUUGGCAAAGCCACAACAAUAAUCGGAAACACAGUUAAUCUCCACAAACAUAGUAAAGUCAUGAGAAAGACUAAGAGAGGGAAGGCUGGGGGGAGGAGGGGUGUGGAGGGAGGGAAGGGAAGGCUGGGGGGAGGUGGGGUGUGGAGGGAGGGAAGGGAAGGCUGGGGGGAGGAGGGGUGUGGAGGGAAGGA